CGCCUUUGGACUAAGAUCAGAAGGUUGGGCCUGCCCAGUGUCUUAAGGAUAAACGGCUGCAGUACUCUGACUGUGCAAAGGUAGCAAAAUCAAUUGUUCAUUAAUUGUGGACUGGUAUCAAUGGCUUGACGAUAGGAUAACUGUCUUUUUUUACUAUCAUUGAAGUUUACGUAGGAGUGAAGAGGCUUUUAUGCUUUAGCGGGACGAGAAGACCCCGUUGAGCUUUAGUUAGAGACUUUUGCGUAAAAUGUUUUCCAACUUGAGUUGGGGCAACUGUUUUUAUAUUUUAAGACAAAAAUAAUUAGUUGUGUGAAUUAAAUCUGGUGAAGAUCCUUAAUUUGUGAGAUUAAUAGAACAAGUUACCACGGGGAUAACAGCGUAAUUUUUUUUGAGAGUUCUUAUUGACAAAGAAGUUUGCGACCUCGAUGUUGGAUCAUGGCANCCUAGGGGUGCAGCAGCUCCUAAGGGUUGGUUUGUUCAACCAUUAAAGCU
rnacentral:rRNA from 1 species